rnacentral:rRNA from 1 species
AUUGAACGCUGGCGGCAGGCUUAACACAUGCAAGUCGAGCGGAGAUGAGGUGCUUGCACCUUAUCUUAGCGGCGGACGGGUGAGUAAUGCUUAGGAAUCUGCCUAUUAGUGGGGGACAACAUUCCGAAAGGAAUGCUAAUACCGCAUACAUCCUACGGGAGAAAGCAGGGGAUCUUCGGACCUUGCGCUAAUAGAUGAGCCUAAGUCGGAUUAGCUAGUUGGUGGGGUAAAGGCCUACCAAGGCGACGAUCUGUAGCGGGUCUGAGAGGAUGAUCCGCCACACUGGGACUGAGACACGGCCCAGACUCCUACGGGAGGCAGCAGUGGGGAAUAUUGGACAAUGGGGGGAACCCUGAUCCAGCCAUGCCGUGUGUGAAGAAGGCCUUAUGGUUGUAAAGCACUUUAAGCGAGGAGGAGGCUACUGAGACUAAUACUCUUGGAUAGUGGACGUUACUCGCAGAAUAAGCACCGGCUAACUCUGUGCCAGCCGCUGCGGUAAGAC